UACAGAGGGGGCAAGCGUUGUUCGGAAUUACUGGCGUAAAGGGCGCGUAGGCGGCCUGUUAAGUCGGACGUGAAAUCCCUCGGCUCAACCGGGGAACUGCGUCCGAUACUGGCGGGCUUGAAUUCGGGAGAGGGAUGUGGAAUUCCAGGUGUAGCGGUGAAAUGCGUAGAUAUCUGGAGGAACACCGGUGGCGAAGGCGGCAAUCCUGGACC
rnacentral:rRNA from 1 species